AUGCUCAUUUCAGCAACACAUACAUUAAAAUUGAAAUGAUAGAGAAAAGAUUAGCAUGGCCCCUGUGUAAAGAUGACAUGCAAAUUUGUGAAGCAUUUCAUAUUUUU